rnacentral:rRNA from 1 species
CCUACGUGGGGCAGCAGUGAGGAAUAUUGGUCAAUGGGCUUACGCCUGAACCAGCCAAGUCGCGUGAGGGAAGACUGCCCUAUGGGUUGUAAACCUCUUUUGUCAGGGAGCAAUUGGCGCUACGUGUAGCGUUAUCGAGAGUACCUGAAGAAAAAGCAUCGGCUAACUCCGUGCCAGCAGCCGCGGUAAUACGGAGGAUGCGAGCGUUAUCCGGAUUUAUUGGGUUUAAAGGGUGCGUAGGCGGAAUGCCAAGUCAGCGGUAAAAUCGCGGGGCUCAACCUCGCUACGCCGUUGAAACUGGCGGUCUUGAGUGGGCGAGAAGUAUGCGGAAUGCGUGGUGUAGCGGUGAAAUGCAUAGAUAUCACGCAGAACUCCGAUUGCGAAGGCAGCAUACCGGCGCCCAACUGACGCUGAAGCACGAAAGCGUGGGUAUCGAACAGGAUUAGAUACCCUUGUAGUC